UAAACUAAUAGUAAUAGCAUAUGGCUGA
rnacentral:piRNA from 1 species